AGGGAUGUAGCUCACUGGCAGAGCACUUGCUUUGCAUGCAUGAGGUUCUGGGUUUGAUCCCAGGAUCAUGA
rnacentral:tRNA from 1 species